UUCGAGAGUUUGAUCCUGGCUCAGGAUGAACGCUGGCUGUGUGCCUAAUACAUGCAUGUCGAGCGGAGUUCUUCGGAACUUAGCGGCGAAUGGGUGAGUAACACGUACUUAACAUACCCUUUAGAUUGGAAUAACGAUUAGAAAUGAUCGCUAAUGCCGGAUACUUAUAUUUAUCGCAUGAAAAAUAUAUAAAAGGAGCGUUUGCUUCGCUAGAGGAUUGGGGUGCGUAACAUUAGCUAGUUGGUAGGGUAAUGGCCUACCAAGGCUAUGAUGUUUAGCGGGGUUGAGAGACUGAUCCGCCACACUGGGACUGAGAUACGGCCCAGACUCCUACGGGAGGCAGCAGUAGGGAAUUUUCCACAAUGGACGAAAGUCUGAUGGAGCGACACAGCGUGCAGGAUGACGGCCUUCGGGUUGUAAACUGCUGUUAUAAGGGAAGAAAAAAUAAAGUAGGAAGUGACUUUAUCUUGACGGUACCUUGUCAGAAAGCAACGGCUAACUAUGUGCCAGCAGCCGCGGUAAUACAUAGGUUGCAAGCGUUAUCCGGAAUUAUUGGGCGUAAAGCGUCUGUAGGUUGUUUGUUAAGUCUGACGUGAAAACUUGGGGCUCAACCCCAAAUUGCGUUGGAUACUGGCGAACUAGAGUUAUGAAGAGGUUAGCGGAAUUCCUUGUGAAGCGGUGAAAUGCGUAGAUAUAAGGAAGAACACCAAUUUGGCGAAGGCAGCUAACUGGGCAUACACUGACACUGAGAGACGAAAGCGUGGGGAGCAAACAGGAUUAGAUACCCUGGUAGUCCACGCUGUAAACGAUGAUGAUUAGCUGAUGGGGAACUCAUCGGCACAGCUAACGCAUUAAAUCAUCCGCCUGAGUAGUAUGCUCGCAAGAGUGAAACUUAAAGGAAUUGACGGGGAUCCGCACAAGCGGUGGAGCAUGUGGUUUAAUUUGAAGAUACGCGUAGAACCUUACCCACUCUUGACAUCUUCCGCAAAGCUAUAGAGAUAUAGUGGAGGUCAACGGAAUGACAGAUGGUGCAUGGUUGUCGUCAGCUCGUGUCGUGAGAUGUUCGGUUAAGUCCUGCAACGAGCGCAACCCUUGUCCUUAGUUAAAUGUUCUAAGGAGACUGCCCGAGUAAUUGGGAGGAAGGUGGGGACGACGUCAAAUCAUCAUGCCUCUUACGAGUGGGGCAACACACGUGCUACAAUGGACGGUACAAAGAGACGCAAUACGGCGACGUGGAGCAAAUCUCAAAAAACCGUUCUCAGUUCGGAUUGUAGUCUGCAACUCGACUACAUGAAGUCGGAAUCGCUAGUAAUCGUAGAUCAGCUACGCUACGGUGAAUACGUUCUCGGGUCUUGUACACACCGCCCGUCACACCAUGGGAGCUGGUAAUGCCCGAAGUCGGUUUUGUUAACUACGGAGACAACUGCCUAAGGCAGGACUGGUGACUGGGGUGAAGUCGUAACAAGGUAUCCCUACGAGAACGUGGGGAUGGAUUACCUCCUU
rnacentral:rRNA from 1 species